ACGGGCGGAGUGUACAAGGCCCGGGAACGUAUUCACCGCGGCAUUCUGAUCCGCGAUUACUAGCGAUUCCAGCUUCAUGCAGUCGAGUUGCAGACUGCAAUCCGAACUGGGAUGGCUUUUCUGUGCUUGGCUCCCCAUCACUGGCUCGCUUCACUUUGUUACCACCAUUGUAGCACGUGUGUAGCCCAAAUCAUAAGGGGCAUGAUGAUUUGACGUCAUCCCCGCCUUCCUCCGGGUUAUCCCCGGCUGUCUCCCCAGAGUGCCCGGCUCUUCCGCUGGCUACUGAGGACAGGGGUUGCGCUCGUUGCGGGACUUAACCCAACAUCUCACGACACGAGCUGACGAAAACCAUGCACCACCUGUCUUGCCUGUCCCGUAGGAAAGGUGACGUUACUCACCG
rnacentral:rRNA from 1 species